rnacentral:lncRNA from 1 species
AAUUUGACUAAUGUUUUAAUAUAUAAGAUAAAAUACAUGUUAAUAACAAUCACAUCCGUUGGAAGCAAUCAAUGAUGCAUUCCCUAUACCUUAUUAGAAGAUAUGUUGGCUAUAAGAAAACCUCUUAUAGCCUGAUGUUGAACGUUCUAUAAAAUUUACAAGUCCCUUGCAGUCACUCGAUAGUUACCAAUCAGAGAUUUUUCAUAAUUCGUUCGUGGCAAAGUGCCUCAACACACUUUUCAAUACUAUAGUUUUCCUGUAGAAGUUACAAAUUUCAGUAUCUUUAGCAAAAAAAAAGUUGGAAAAUUCAUACAAUCAAUAAUUAUUCACGAAAGGGGAUUUCUAAAACUACUUGGAGCACUUUCCACUCAAACUAUUCCAGUCAAACUUUGUUCACAAAAAUAGAUUCAUCUUGCUCAUGUGUUCUUUCUUCUGAUUACCAGUUACCCCAACUACCUUCAUAAUCAACGUCAGUUUUGUAAAUGAUUUUCCCAUGUGUGCUUGACUGAUAUAAUAAAGACCUAUCUAUUAAAUUCUUAAUAUCGAACAGGAUGCCAAAAUGAAUGAGACAAAUUUAAAUGCGUCUUGGAUAAAUGGAUCUGAGAUCUUGCCAGAGAGGAUGCCAUUUUUGUUUGUCAUCAAUGUAAAUCUUCAUAUCUUAUCAUUGCACACACAAUGAGAUGCCAAAAUGUUACAAAAAGAAAUUCAAAAGAAAAAGAGAUGCACAUAUUGGUUGACCCAAAAAAAAAGAGAUACAGAUAUUGAUGGUCAUGAAACAAACCUAGGGUUUCAGCGGACCAAAUUUGUUAAGGCUCAUUAGUCUGGUCAGACCCAUUUAACACCAUAACAAUUAGAAUUUUUUUUACAUAACUUUUGUUUAAAACAAAUACAUUCAAUUUCCUUAAUCAUCUAACCUACUCAACUUUUUUUUGUCACUGGAUUGUAUUAUUAAACUUUCUAGGAAAAUAAUUAUAAACAAUAAGAACUAACGAAACAAAUAUAGAAAAAAAAUACACCAGUAUGAAUCCAAAAUAAACUAACACACAUC